GGCGCCAGGCCGAGGACAUAAAAGCCGGACACCCGAAAGAAAUCGCGCGAGUGUUGUUGCAGAGGCGCGGGGAUGGCGGCACGUGGGCAGAGACCCGAGCACAGCGGGCCUCCGGAGCUGUUUUACGACAAGAAUGAAGCCCGGAAAUACGUGCGCAACUCACGGAUGAUUGAUGUCCAAACCAAGAUGGCUGGGCGAGCGUUGGAGCUCCUCUGUCUGCCUGAGGGUCAACCUUGUUAUCUGUUGGAUAUUGGCUGUGGUUCUGGGCUGAGUGGAGAUUACCUCUCAGAUGAGGGGCACUACUGGGUGGGCAUUGACAUCAGCCCUGCCAUGCUGGAUGUGGCCCUGGACCGAGACACGGAGGGAGACCUGCUUCUGGGGGACAUGGGUCAGGGCAUCCCCUUCAAACCGGGCUCCUUUGAUGGUUGUAUCAGCAUUUCUGCGGUGCAGUGGCUGUGUAGUGCUAACAAGAAGUCCGACAUUCCUGCCAAGCGCCUGUACUGCUUCUUUUCUGCUCUUUACUCUGUUCUGGUCCAUGGAGCUCGGGCUGUCCUGCAGCUGUACCCUGAGAACUCAGAGCAGUUGGAGCUGAUCACGACCCAGGCCACCAGGGCCGGCUUCACUGGUGGUGUGUUGGUGGACUAUCCCAACAGCGCCAGAGCCAAGAAGUUCUACCUCUGUUUGUUUUCUGGACCUUCGACCUUUAUACCAAUGGCCCAGAACGAAGAUAAUGAGGAAGAGGAGGCCAGGGAGUCCACGUUCACGGUUGAGAGCCUGUCAGGGUCCGGUGUGGCAGAGACACCAAGGCGGAAAUAGGACCUGGGAACCCUUCAGACCUGUGCCUGCACCUGCCUCCGGCUGAGCUAGUGGAGCCCUUCCGGAUGUCUGUGGGCAGCCUUCCUCUCUGCCUGCCCUCUUGCCAUACCCAGCAGGCUGUCCCCUCCUCCCAAGGCUGCCUCCUUCACCUACAUCCCGGACCCCAUCCCCACUUGGCCCCUGUGGCUCUCGUUCCUCUCCCGCAUCCUCAUGUUUACCCUCCUGAGUCAUCCCCAUCAGCACACAAACAUCCUGCGCGAUUUCUCCUGUCUUCAAAAAGGGUCCUUCCUUAACCCCGUAACAGCUCCUGGCGGCCACCCUGUUCAUCGGCUUCCCUUUAUGACCGAACUCCUCACACUGUCUCCUCUGCCAUUCUCACUCCUCUCCUCUGGCUCAUGCUUGUCUCAUCACAAAUUGCUCUCUUUUUUUUCAGUACGCGGGCCUCUCACUGUUGUGGCCUCUCCCGUUGCGGAGCACAGGCUCCGGACGUGCAGGCUCAGUGGCCAUGGCUCACGGGCCCAGCCACUCCGCGGCAUGUGAGAUCUUCCCGCACUGGGGCACGAACCCGUGUCCCCUGCAUAGGCAGGCGGACUCUCAACCACUGCGCCACCAGGGAAGCCCCACAGUUUGCUCUCUUGAUCAAGGCCACCGCCAGGCUGUCUUCGCCAAACCCAUGGUCACUUCCCAGUCCUUUUUCCUUCUCCAUGUUCAUUGUAACUUGCCUGCUCAUUAGGAGCUGAUGCAGCCGAUCGCUCCCCUAACGCUUUCCUCACUUGGCCUCCCACCCAAUGUCCCGGUUUUCUGUUAACCUCACUGGCUGUUCCUUCUUGGUCCACUCUGGGGCCCACCCUGGACCCCUUUUCUCUCUGUGCUGCUGCCUUAGACACCAGCUACAGGUUCAGAACCUCCAGGUUUCUAUGCUUGGUCUCAAUCCCACCUCUGCUUUCCAAACCACCUCCCCUCCUAAAUAUCCAUACCUGGACUUCCACGGGUCUCUGGAACAAAACAGAGCUCUUGGUCUCCAUCCCCGAACUUCCUCCCUCCAUUCUUUCCAUUCUCAGCCCUUCCUGGUUUCCUUACAUUUUACAUCUAGUCACUCCAUCCCUUUUCCCCACUCCUACCUGGUCUCUGUCUUUGCUGCCUAGAUUACUGAAAGCUACCUCACUUGUCUCCUUACUUCUGACUUUGCCUCUUUGAAUUCAUUUGCUGUGCAGCAAGACGGAGACUUCCCUUUUUCUUUUACGUUUUUGAAAUGUAAAUCAUAUCUUGCCAUUUCUCAGUUCAGUAUCUUCAGUUGAGUUCUUGUUACCUUUAUUUUCCCUACCACCUUUCACUGCUCUAAAUCAUAAGCAUUCGUUUACUUGGUAUUACUUCUGUCCCCAACUAGAAUGAAAACUUGGUGGGGACUUGCACUGUAUCCCUGAAACCGGAAUAGUGUCUUGUUAGCAAAAGGUGUUCAAUAUUUGUUGAAGGAACAAUUGAUUAUAAGGUAGUGAAGAAUGAGGUGUUUCUUAGUUCUGAUUAGUAGGGGUGAAAGGUUUUCAGACUCUUACGACGUUUAAGAGGAAAAAUGAGCCGAGAAUGGAUGAGUUAGGAAGGCCCACCUGUGGUGAAAAUCAUGAGUGCGGUCCUCCUGUUCACCAUGGAUUGAUGCCCUCUGACCCAUUGGCCCUCCGCGGUCAUCUCCCUUAGCUUCCUCACCCAUUCCCCGUGGGGACUUGGGGGCUCUCCUAGCCGUUUCUGCUCUAGGGUGCCCAUUGCUUGCUCUCAGGGAGUGGUCCCGUCUCCUGCUUCCCCUCCGUCUAUCUUAGGCUCCCUCUUGUCCUCACGCCGGUGUCUACAGACGACGUGUCCUAACUGUAAACUUAGGUAAGUUGUGGGACCUGAUCAUCCAUUUCUCGUGUUUAAAAUUGGGGGGGAUGUGCCACCCUCUUGGGCAGUGAGUUGAGUCGAGGGCAUGUCUGUACAGGACUCAGCACAGUGCCUGGCGCGGACCUCAUUUCCCUACAGGCUCUUCCUUUUGAAGUCCUCGGAUUUGAGGAGGGUGGGAGGAGGCCUUUGUCUACUGUAAGGCUGAUGGGGCUUCUCCCGGUGCUGUCACUUCUGUCUGAUCACAUUCAGGCCACUUACUGUAAAUAAAUAGGUAAAUCAAGGAAAAGUAUUUUAAACUUUUACCUGACUUAUCUCUAAUUUCUUCCCCCCGCCCCCCAACAACUUUGCUUGACCUAUGUAUUCCUUAAUCCUCGUCACUCAGCCUCUACCGUACCACUCGUCAGCUGCUCUCUCCAAAGGCUCCGUCCCCUCUGGCAUUUGCACUGUGGACUCCGCUCUCCUCUUGGCACCUGUGGUUGGGGUCGCUUACCGUCUUCACUGCUCCCUUUGUCUCCCCUGAUGACUCUUUCCCAUCGUCCCUCCCGCAGCUCACAUCUUGCCCCCUGUUCACUGUGCUACCCCAGAGCUCGUCCUUCCUUAGAGACUCCUGGGGAUUAGUCCUGCAUCUGUUUAGUCCUGCAUCUCCAGCAGCCUGCUUUGCACCUGGCACAUCAGACUCCUGCCCCCUCACUGUAGGCCCUCUUAACUUUCUUUCGUGAACUGCUAUCUGCACACCCCAGAGUCUAGGACAUGUUGUGUUCCUCCUGUGGUAGAAAGCCUCGCUGCUUCCUGGAGGGAGAGCACGCUCCUUGCUGGUUGGUGUUCACACCUCCAUGAACUGGACCAGCCAGGUGGGAUUCUGAGUUGGUGGGUUUUUUUUUUGUUUUUUUUUUUUUGGUGUUUUUUUUUAAUCUGACUUUUACUAUUAGGUUAGAACAGAUGAGAAGUAGGAGCCGGAAGGGUGUGUCAUGCAGUCCGGCUUCCACUGGUCCUCAGGCGAGGAGGACACUUACGAGGACGACUCAAUCUUCAGCUGACCCUCAGUCUCACUUGGACCCUUCCCCUCCUUACACUCAAUGACUCCAGGCAACAGGGCUCUUCUGCUCCCUAACCUUCCUCUUCAGUCCUUUCCCUGUGCCUCAUUUUCAUGUAUUGCUUCUUGUCUGGAAUGCUGGCCCGCCUUCUGCAUGAAGCAGCUUAUCUCUGUGGCCCUCUCCUUUUCCCCAUCACUGCCUUAGCAGCUCCUGGCCUCCCUGCUCUUGCUUUGCCUCAUGCGGACGGUCGCUACCACAGCCCAGCCGUGGACUCUUCAGGGGCAGGGCUGGUUCACAGCCACUGUAGAACGUCCACGGGCCGUGCACGCAGGUACUCAGGGAAUGGUUACUCAGAGGGCAAGCAGCCUCCGUGGUGUGUUCGACGCUGAAAACAGUUGGAUUCCAACUGCCAGGGUCCCGUACAGGAUGGCGAGGCGGGGAGUGGUGAGGAAGAGCCGAGAGUGGGUGCUGGAGAAGAAGGAGCGCCGGCGGCGGCAGGGCAA